AAAACUUUCAACAACGGAUCUCUUGGUUCCGGCAUCGAUGAAGAACGCAGCGAAAUGCGAUACGUAAUGUGAAUUGCAAAUUCAGUGAAUCAUCGAGUCUUUGAACGCACAUUGCGCCCCCUGGUAUUCCGGGGGGCAUGCCUGUCCGAGCGUCAUUUCUGCCCUCAAGCACGGCUUGUGUGUUGGGCCCCGUCCUCCGA
rnacentral:rRNA from 1 species